AGGAUUUGUUGUGUGGAGCUUGCUAAACACUCUCCAAGUGUUGGAUUUACAUUUGGUAGAAUUUUUGUGAUACAUUGCAAGGUGGCGUCUAGGAGACCUAAGCUUGAUAUCCGCGCAACCAGUAUGCUGCCGUCUCAUAAAGGAAGCUGUUCGUGAGCGGCACUGUAAAGACAACUGCAUUGCAAUUGUCAUUGUUUUCAGGCACAAGUAAAUACGUAAUACCAAAGGCACCAACUUUUAGUAGAAAUUUAUUGCUGCUGCUUGUUGAUUUCAUUAAUGUUUUGUUUCUUCUUCGAUUGUAUAAUUUCCUCAGACAUUGCUCUUGAUUGUAUGUUUGUUG